rnacentral:lncRNA from 1 species
CUGAAAUCCUGAAGGAUGAAACUAGUCUGUGAGCCCAAGGAGUUUGGGAACCACUUCCUAGAGCAUGUCUCAAAGAUAGCCAACCUCCUGGUUUAAAGACCUCCACAUGAAUAACUUGAGUUUGCCAUAAAGCACUAGUUACUUUUUGCAGGAAUUUUUGAUAGUUUAUUUCCUGAAAACCCAAGUCUUUUCACAAAAAUAAAGUUAAGGUUUUUAAAAAUUUGAAAAAUGGUUUGACGACAAACUCUGAGGUGGUUCUUGAAUGAAACAUCGAUUUUGGUCUAAGUUAUUUAUUUUCACAGUUCAAGAGUUGUCUUUUAGUUCUAGUUUGGAUUUUUCUUAUGCCACCUUCCAACUACCGGAUCUUGUUAUGCCUUUGUCUGUUAACUUGGAGAGAGACCUUCUUUUCUGGGUAGGUACUUGACUUAAAAACUAAGGUCUUUUUCUGCACUCAGUCUUGUCCCCACCCCCAUCUGUGAAGCAACGAUGAAGCCUAUAUGAACACUAAAAUAUAAAACCUUGGCUUUCCUGUGUCUGAGAUGAGUCAGAACUUCCUGAUUAUUGCCAGCUCUCACAAACUGCUUCUCUGUAAGUAACACCAUAAGAAUUGCAAUUCAAGUGUAAUACGAGUGAAAGUACUAUAGAUUGAAUUCUAUAGUCUCUUACAGCUUUCAGCAUCAGGGCUCUGAGUGUACCAACCAGACAGUACUUCAUACUGUCUCUAUGGAGUGACCUCAGUAGCGUCCCCCGUCUUCUGAAUGGAAUCAAAGUAGGCUGGGAUUGUAGGUAACCAAAAGAUUUGGAAUGGCAGUGACUCACAACUGUUCACACUUGGAAAGAUGCACUUUUCCCAGCUCAUUUAUGGCUUGUCCCAUGAAGCCACGGGAAUGCUGGGAGAAGGACUGCCCAAGAAGAGACUGGAGCCCCGAGUCUCCCCUUGCUUGCACUGAGGGCAAAGUUGGCCCCACAUUUUGCCAUGAAUUUGAUAUUUUCACCCAUGGGAGUGAAAUCCAGUGCUCUUAUUUGAAUUUUUGGAGGAAGACGGUUGGAGAGACGUGAGGCAGAGGGACUUCCCCUCCCUUUCUUCAGAAGUUUUCCUCAUUGGAGUACUGAAUAUGACCUGGAGGAUAUGUGUUGAUGGUCCUAGAGAGACACCAGUCAGAUUUGGGAAAUUACUUCUUCUCACGGAGAAAACGAAAAAUGAGGUUUGAUUUUCUUUUUACUAUUGCUUUGCUUCAAAAGUAUUGCCUUAUAAUUUAACACAUCUGAAUUUUUUCUAUGCAGGAAACAUGUUGCUUCGGUUUUAGUCAAUGAGUGAAAACUUCUAAAUAAUCUAAAGGGUUACCAUAGGUGUAAUGAGACCACCCGGGUGGUUGAUGUGCUUCUUGGAAAGCAGUCGAAACAUUAUAGAAUGGUCCAUGAGAUGAAAGGAAUAUGGCAAUGCGGCCAUUGGCAGUUGGAUAGAGGUACUGAAUAGUGGGUGGUAUCAAUACUGAUUAAAUGGGUGGAGUUAUGAACUGAUGAGGGAAAAGGCUCUACUCAUUAACAAAAUCUUGAAGGUG